rnacentral:rRNA from 1 species
AUGGAAUGGAAGCCAAAUGUACUCUCUUGGAACGUGAGGGGUCUCAAUAACCCUGCUAAAACAAAUGCGGUUAGGGAGUUUGUAAUAGAUGCUAAGGUGAACUUGGUGUGUCUCCUUGAGACAAAGUUACAUGUACUUGAUCAAUACUUGGUGAUGCAAUGCAUUGGGCCAUCGUUUGAUGGUUUUGCUUAACUGCUGGCGAUCGACACGAGGAGUGGUAUUUUGCUAGCUUGGGAUAGUUCUUACAUGGAGAUUGAUAAUCUAUCCCGGGACUGUAACUUCCUCACGGGGCACGUGCGUAACAAAGAUGGAUGGGAGUGGUGGUUAUCCGUGGUCUAUGGCCCACAAGGGGAUGAGUUGAAGAUCAAUUUUCUGGUGGAGUUGCAGCAUCGGAGAGAUGUUUGCCCGGGACCGUGGAUGGUUCUUGGAGACUUCAAUAUGAUCUUAAGAGCGGAGGAGAAGAAUAACACCAAUCUCAAUAGAUCCAUGAUGAGGAGAUUCAAGGCGUUUGUGGACAAUAAUGAGCUCAAAGAACUCUACAUGCAUGGGAGGAGGUUUGCUGGUCUAAUGAGAGAGAGAACGUGGUGA